GCGAACGGGUGAGGAAUACAUGGGUAACCUACCCUCGAGUGGGGAAUAACUAGCCGAAAGGUUAGCUAAUACCGCAUACGAUUCCGGGACUGCGGUUCCGGAAAGAAAGCGAUACCGUGGGUAUCGCGCUCUUGGAUGGGCUCAUGUCCUAUCAGCUUGUUGGUGAGGUAACGGCUCACCAAGGCUUCGACGGGUAGCUGGUCUGAGAGGACGAUCAGCCACACUGGCACUGCGACACGGGCCAGACUCCUACGGGAGGCAGCAGUAAGGAAUAUUGCGCAAUGGGCGAAAGCCUGACGCAGCGACGCCGCGUGGGGGAUGAAGGUCUUCGGAUUGUAAACCCCUUUCGGGAGGGAAGAUGGAAUGGGUAACCAUUCGGACGGUACCUCCAGAAGCAGCCACGGCUAACUUCGUGCCAGCAGCCGCGGUAAUACGAAGGUGGCAAGCGUUGUUCGGAUUCACUGGGCGUACAGGGAGCGUAGGCGGUUGGGUAAGCCCUCCGUGAAAUCUCCGGGCCUAACCCGGAAAGUGCAGAGGGGACUGCUCAGCUUGAGGACGGGAGAGGAGCGCGGAAUUCCCGGUGUAGCGGUGAAAUGCGUAGAGAUCGGGAGGAAGGCCGGUGGCGAAGGCGGCGCUCUGGAACGUUUCUGACGCUGAGGCUCGAAAGCGUGGGGAGCAAACAGGAUUAGAUACCCUGGUAGUCCACGCCUUAAACUAUGGAUACUAAGUGUCGGCGGGUUACCGCCGGUGCCGCAGCUAACGCAGUAAGUAUCCCGCCUGGGAAGUACGGCCGCAAGGUUGAAACUCAAGGAAUUGA
rnacentral:rRNA from 1 species